AGUAACACGUGGGUAACCUGCCCGGAGGUGGGGGACAACUCUUCGAAAGGAGAGCUAAUACCGCAUAACAUCCCGAGGACUUCGGUUCAUGGGAUCAAAGUUUGCCUCUGUUUCAUGCAAACGCCACCGGAGGGACCCGCGCCCCAUUAGCUUGAUGGUGAGGUAACGGCUCACCAUGGCUACGAUGGGUAGCCGGCCUGAGAGGGUGAUCGGCCACACUGGAACUGAGACACGGUCCAG
rnacentral:rRNA from 1 species